ensembl:lncRNA
CAGUAACACCAUAACAGAAUAUCUCAUAUCAUAGCAGCACAAACGCUAAUUUCACCUGCACAAAUCAGCACAAACGUAGCACUAAAAAAGUAGGCCAUUUUGGCCCGUUUUGGAGCAGUCUGGGGGGAUGGUGACCUUUGAAUGACCUAUAAAAUAAUGUUUAAUAUCUCAAAAACCGUAGCAGCACAAACGCUAAUUUUAACUGCACGAAUCUGCACAAACGUAGCACUAACCGCUCCGCCUUUACGUUUCAAGUGGGUGGGGGGUCAGCUUCACUCUGUUUUUAUAGGUGAUCCUCACUUGUGUGCACGUGCAUGUAGGUGAACGCUCACGGCAUGACGUCACACAGCUCAGUUCCUUUCUGCUUUGAUCUUGCAGCACGUGACCUCCACUCGAGUCCUCAAAUAGGGGUGAAACGUAUCACUAAACAAUUUUCAAAGCUAUCUUUAACUAAGACAGAGCAAAGAGACACAUAUUGAAAAAUAAUGACCAAUCAAACAGGUAGGAGUGGUCCGGGAAUCCCAAUAGACAAGGAAGAAAACAGAGAAAUAUACAGAGUUAGGUUGGAAAACUGUAUGGAAAACCAAGUUAGGCGAGUGGUAAAAAAAUCAGGCGAAGUCAUCAGUGAGGAAAAAGUCGAAGCCAUUUACAAGAGGCUUACCAAUAAAAUCUGGGCUGAAGUCGAGGAUCAAUUUGAUGAGAUUCUUAUAGUGGACUUCAACAAGCUCUACAACAUGAUUUUCAAAGCCCUGUGUGAAAAGUGGAAAAGUGCAGAAACAGUGCUGCUAAUAAUGAAAUUAAAUCUUCCACUUAUUGACAACACAAUUGUGGUAACCUUUAUAGAAGAGGCAGCCAAACUAAUGAUAAGAAAUCAAAGAAACGCAUAUUCAAAAACAACAGAAACCAACACAGGCAGGAGUGAUCCAGGAAUUCCAAUAGACAAGAAAGAAAGCAGCAGAAAUGACAGAUUUAGGUUGGAAAAGUGUAUGGCAGUCCUGGUUAAGCGAUUGGUUAGAAAAUCAGGUGGAGUCAUCAGUUUGGAAGAAGUUAAAGCCAUCUGCAAGAGGCUUACCAGCAAAAUCUGGGCUGAAAUGGAGGAUCAACUUCAUGUAAAUCUCUUAAUAGAGUCUGACAGGCUCCCAGAGAUGAUUUUCAACGGCCUUUGUAAAAAAUGGCAAAGUGCAGAAAUAGUGCUGCUAAUGAUGAAAUUAAAUCUCCCACUAAUUGACAACAUAAUUGUUGUAACUUUGAUAGAAGAGGCAGCCAAACUAACAAAGAGAGAGCAAAGAAGUGCAUAUUCAAAAACAAUAGCAGCAAACACAGGUAGGAGUGAUUCAGCUUUUAUUUCAGAGCCUAAAGAAAAUGUAAUGCCCGGAAAUGUGACAAAUACAGAAGAAAAAAGUCAUAAUCAUACUUGUAACGCUUGUAUUGACAGGAAAAACAUUUCAAUACAAAAUCAGAAAACAACAGAAACCGAAGAAACUGGAACUCCAAUAGAAGAGAAAAAACAGAGAGAGAAAAAGAGAUUAUAUUUGGAAAUGGGUAUGCAAUUCCUGGUUAGGCGAUUGGUUAGAAAAUCAGGUGAAGUCAUCAGUUUGCAAGAAGUUAAAGCCAUCUCCAUGAGGCUUACCAGCAAAAUCUGGGCUGAAAUGGAGGAUCAACUUCAUGUAAAUCUCUUAAUACAGUCUCACAGGCCCUUAAAGAUGAUUUGCAACGCCCUUUGUAAAAAGUGGCAAAGUGCAGAAACAGUGCUGCUAAUGAUGAAAUUAAAUCUCCCACUCAUCGACAACAUAAUUUUUGUAACUCUCAUAGAGGAAGCAGCCAAACUAUCCAAGAGACCAAGUCGCAUAAGUCGAUUUUUCUCAUUUGUAGGUCGACUUUUUUCCUCCUGUCUGUGCUGCAUGCAGAGUUCCAACACAGCUGACUGCGGUGUGGAACAACAAAUCAUUGUGUUUCAGAGCCUGAAAGAGGCUGAAAACAAGCCUGAAAACGAGAAAAGAAAUAGUAGUCAUGCGACUGUGUGUUCUUUCUGUAACUUUAAGAACUGUAACUGCUCUUUCAACGUUAAUGUCAAAUUGAGCAUCCCGAAACUAUUCAGUUUAGUGUAAUGCAGAGAAAGAGCUGCUGCUUUAAAGGCAGUACUGAUGACUAAAUUGUCAUCUUGAUUUUUUUUUCAAAUACCUCUUUUAAAAUCUUAAAGCAGUCUGGCCUCAGAGUUAACAUCAGAGGUAUAUUUUAUUUUAAAACUAUUUCAUUCGACUUUAAUUAGACUGAGAAAUAUUCUUCACCGUGUCUCUUCGUAUUAUCGUUACCAUCACCCCCCAACGGCCGAGGCAGACGGCCGUCCCUUCUGAGCCUGGUUCUGCCGGAGGUUUCUGCCUGUUACAGGUAGUUUUUCCUCCCCACUGUCGCCAAGUGCUUGCUCAUAAGGGAUUAUUCAUUAAUUGGGGUUUUCUUGCUGCUACUGUAGGGUCUCUAUCUUACAGUAUAAAGCAACUUGAGGAGACGGUUGUGAUUUGAUGCUAUAUUAAACAUCUUAAAUUCAACUGAAUCUUAAAAUGUAAUAUAGCAUCACAUCACCAUCAAAUCAAGAACUGAAAAAUAUAAAACAAAAUGAAAAUAAAAACCUAAAUUAAAAGCAGUUUGUGAUUUGUCUUGUGCUUUCAAAAUAUAUUGUCAAAUAUGAAAAGCUGCAUUUCUAUGCUCUGGUCAUUAGUACUGGUAUUUUAACCCUGGAGAACAAAUGGGGUCAGAUCCGACCCCAUUGGUUUUCUAGGGAACCCAUGGGGUCAAAUUUGACCCCAUGGGUUCUCCAGGGUUAAUGUAAGCAAACACAGGGAGCAUACACCGAUGUGGAAGUACUACAGAUGAAGAUGCAAAGAAACCAUGAAAUAAUUAAUGAAAUAGUGAAGUUUAUGAAUAAAAUAAACAACUGUAGCACCGUCUCAGUCUCGUCGAAUCGCCCCUCUGCCUCUUCUACUCUAGCAUCAACUCUUCUUAACCCUCGUCUAAUAUGCGCAUAUUGUUUGUUGUUGUCUUUCCUAAAGUCACGAAGCUCUUUCGGGAUGUUCAGGAGGCUGGGCUCGUCUGCAUCCGUGCCCUCUGUGGCUAACCUUAGCUCAGGAGAGUAGCUCCUAUCCACGUGGCUUUUCUCUGUCUCCUCUUCUGUCUGAGUUGUGCCUCUCAAACUUCUUGUGACUACCCCCGUUUCCAUAUUUAAAAGCAAUCUCACCUAUUAUCAGAAAGAUUACCGUAUCUUAUUGUAAGAGAAAUUUCUCCUACGUGUUUGGAGUCUCUACAGUAAGCAAAUGUGGUAAAGGGUGUGGCUGAUUCUGGGAUUGAUGCAGGAGGGCGACAGAAAUAAAAAGUAAAAUAUUAAAUUUUUGCUGUUAUUGACUUUGCUUUACAAUAUCAAACACUGAGCCAGAUGCACAAUAGUCAUGUACAUCACACGUAAACACAUUAAUGUAAAAAACACAGAGGUUAGGCCAUCAAAGUGUGUGUAAAAGAAGUGUUUAUGUCUGUCUUGCAGUUUCUGUUCCUGUCCGAGGUUUGCAGUGGAGAGCUCAGACCACACAGGACCCCGUCCUCUCCAAACCCUGCUCAGCUCUCUGGUACCAGCACACCCACGCACAACUGGCCACCUUAAAAAAUUGUACAGUUUUGAGCUCGAUAACCUGCAGGUGAAAAAUCUGUAGAUCAGUCAUCGCUCCUCUGUGGUGUUAAGAUGCUGAAUACAAGGGGAAUAAAAGUGGAUUAUAAUCGAUACCAAAACGGAUCUUUAUCCAUGGAAUCAGUAGCAUAAAAUCAGGAAUUUCAGGCUUCAUUAUCAUGGUUAAUUUAAGAAAAUAAAUAAAAAUAGGUGUGACCAUAUUUGACGAUUAUGAGCUAAUUCAAGCAAGUAGAAAACUGAAUAAUAAUUAUCCAUAACUGUGGAUGAACUGACCGUUAGAUGAACUGCAGUCUUUGUCCUUUGAGUGUGGCAGGUGGCUUCUUGAUGGCUCACACCGUUCCCCUCUCUCACCUCCUGCAGGGGGCAGUGUCCAGCUCUCUCACCUGUCUGCAGACGGCGGAGGGAGUGGCAGCUCUGCUGAUGGAGAGAGGCGGUGUGCAGGAAGGAGAUCACGUCGCUCUGGUGUACCCGCCAGGUAUAGACCUGAUCGCAGCCCUUUACGGCUGCCUGUACGCCGGCUGCGUUCCCAUCACAGUGCGACCGCCUCACCCUCAGAACAUCUCCACCACCCUGCCCACUGUUAAGAUGAUUGUCGAGGUGAGUCACUCGGCGUGUGUGAUGAUGACCACCGCCGUCAUCUGUAAGCUGCUGCGCUCCAAAGAGGCCAUGGCCACGAUGGACAUCAGGAACUGGCCCCCAGUCCUGGACACCGUCCCCAGUGUUUCCUGCUCCUUGGAGCACUCCUGGUUGUCUGCUAUGGUGGAGGUGGCCAAUGUCUGGAGACAAAUCGCUGUUCUGGGGAGCUGCUUUCCUCCACUUACUUUACAUCAGAGUAGAAAGCAUGGAAACAACCCUGAUGGAAAACAGAAACAGCAUCCAGGAAGUGGAAUAAAGAUUAAGCAGCCAAAUUCUAGCUCUGGUUCGAUGCUUACAUUUGGAGGACUCUAGACCACAAACUGAGAGAAACUCUGUGAAGAUGCAGAAACACAUCAAGUUUUGCAAACAAGCAUACUAUUUUUAUAGUUAACUAAACUUCUAGUUUAUUAGAGUUGAGUUCCUACUCGCAGACAACUGAAACAUUCACAUUUGGAAAGCUGACUGAAUAAAUUUUCGUUUGAUUAAUCUAAAGUUGUUCUUCUGUGUCUGAAAACACCCACUCCCACUUACUCAACCUGUGUUGUCGUCUGCUGCUGUGGCCUACAGUAGCAGAAGACAACACUGCAACUGUAACCAAACUGAUUACAGCAUUAUUUAAAAACCUUUAGUGAACUCAACGUUCAAGAUUUUUCAAGGAUCCACAGAAACUUUGAUUGUGUGCUAAAAAUGCUAGUAAAGCUGACAUCCAUCACGAACAACCCACAUCCUCCUCUGCAUGAGUCUGUGAGUGUGCUGAGCAGUUCCUCAUCAGAGACCAAAACAUCCUCACUGCAGGAAGGAGCGCUUUCACAGAUCAUUGAUCCCAACAGCAGUUAGACUAUAACUCCUCAAUCACGUUGUCAUGAGUCACUGGACAUUUACCUGGUGUGCACGUAUAUGUGUAUGUAUAUGUAUACAUGUGUAUAUUCAGUGUGUGUAUGUGUGUGUGUGUGUGUGUGUGUGUGCGCGUGUACAUGUCUAUACUUCUAGAUACUUUUAGAUAUCUAUUGCUUAAAUAGUAAUGAUACAAUAGUUAAAUUUAUUUCUUGCAUUUCCACAACACUCUAUCCAUAGUCACAUACUGUGUAUGCUACUGUUGUAUAUAGUGUACUAUCUUAUUUAUUUUGUGGUUGUUUAUAUUUUAGUCCUAUUUUCGUAUUUUCUGUAACCAUGGUUACGGGAGUUUGUUGCAAGAAGUGUUGUGAAUCUCGCUGAGACAGGGAACCACUGAGGAGCCUCAGAUUAACCAAUCAGUCAGAUCGCUGUCUCCACUUGGGUGGCUGUAGCUCAGGUGGUCAGCCACUACUCAGAAGGUUGGUGGUUCGAUCCCAGGCUGCCUCCUGGCUGCAUGCCAAAUAACCUUGGGCAAGAUACUAACCCAGGGGUCUGCAACCUUUUACACCCAAAGAGCCAUUUGACCCGGUUUCCACGCAAAAGAAAACACUGGGAGCCGCAAAUACUUUUUGACAUCUAAAAUGAAGAUAACACUGUAUAUAUUGUUUUUUACCUUUAUGCUUUGUGUGAACAACUCAGGUGUGUUGCUUAUGAAAAAUGAAGUGCUACAGAGAAAAUGUAAUUAUAUUUAUGUAAUCAACACAUUUUGAACUCUUAAAGAAAUAUAACAAAAGGAAAGACACCAACCUGAACUAAAAUGAUCCAGCAAACAAAAACUGUUGUCAGCCGCCACCCUUAUAUCGCCUUUGGGCUUUUGGAGCCUUGACCUGACUCUUAAAAAAUAAUUAGAAAAAAGCUCUAUGCUGCUAAAAGAUGAAAAAUAGAUUCUGCCUAAAUAUGUAUUUUACCUGGUUAAUGUGUGUGGCGGGGUGUGGUUUGCAGCGCCGCUGCAGGGGAGUCGAACGCACCUGAGCAGCACCCGCAAUCCUGCCUUUCCGCCUUAAAGUCUGUGCUCUCUCUGCUGUUGUGUUGUCGGGCUGUGAGCUGAAAAGCUACAGCCGGCUGUAUGUGUAGCCGCUAAACUGGUGACCUAAAUCUUCGCCACCACGUCUAUAUACAUACAAGCAUAAGGGGAGAGAGUGAAUCAGCGCUGGGAGUACGGACACUGGGCCGGCUUUAAACACACCAUUUAUUUUUUUAGAAGAACAGCCAGAAUCACAAGUAGGAGUUAAAAUCCCCACUAUACAAUAAAAAAAUAAAUGUUCCCAACCCACUAAAAAGCCCUGCCGGCAGAGAUUAAAAUACAAUUAAAAAAAUCAAAGCUAAAUGAAUGUCCUUUUUAUACGAUAAAACUUCCCCCCCAGAGUCCUCUAUUCCCAGUGUCCAACCACACACACUCGGGCAAAUGUUCCUUAGCUGAAAGACGCAGAAGGGGAGCUCCUCUUCCGGGAUGGGGAAAUCUCGCCAGCAGAAGGCCAG